CGGCACGGGUGAGUAACACGUAUCCAACCUGCCGUCUACUCUUGGACAGCCUUCUGAAAGGAAGAUUAAUACAAGAUGGCAUCAUGAGUCCGCAUGUUCACAUGAUUAAAGGUGUUCCGGUAGGCGAUGGGGAUGCGUUCCAUUAGAUAGUAGGCGGGGUAACGGCCCACCUAGUCUUCGAUGGAUAGGGGUUCUGAGAGGAAGGUCCCCCACAUUGGAACUGAGACACGGUCCAA
rnacentral:rRNA from 1 species